GCCUUGAUCUAUUCACAUGGAUGUUGUGCAUCUCUCUCUUUGUUCAUUUUUGAGUAGAAUACGGAGGAGCCGGCCAUGGCAAGAAUUUCGGCCAGCUAUUGUCCUUCUUACUUUCUUCCUCCACAAGCAUUGCCUCCCACCUAACCCAAUCAAUAAAUGGGCAGCCACCUCCCUUGGCCAAUGAAAAAAGGAGGCAGCCACCAUCCUCCCUCUAUUUAAAGAGCUUGGCCGGCCACCACCUCCACCUUUGGCCCUCAUUUUUCUUCUCCCACUCCCUCACACUCUUCUCCUCCACCUCCCCACGAGCUGCUGCUCCUCCCAAGCUCCAUGGCCGGCCAUGGCCAUGGAAACCUCUCCAAGAUGCAACUCCCUCCUCUCCCAAGCUUCCCCUCACCAUGAGAGCUUCCCUCUCACUCUCUUCUCCCCUAACCCUAGAUGAAUCCAGCCCUAUUCCUCAUUUCUCCUCUCACAAUAUUGGAUCUUGAUGCAGGUGCAUGUUGGUCCAAGCAUGGAGAAGGUUGAGCUAUCCUCAGAUCUGAAGUUCUUGAGCAAAAUCCAAAUCGAGUGAUUCAAAGUUCCGCAGAUAGAUACGGAAAAUAUCUAUAACUUGGCGUUGGUCUCAUCCUCAAAUUCGGUACGGAUUUUGCAAGAUCAAGAUCUGGUCAGAUCUGACUUUGUCGAAUUAAACCAGGAGCUUGGAGACGAAUUUUUGAAUGAAACCAACUGGGGGAUACUUAUUUUGUGCCAUGGUGAUACCUAGAGAGGCAAUUGCUAAGUCGUGGCACUCUCAUACCUUUACUAGAUGCGAACAAUUCCGGAGAAGAAAAAGAAGUGGAAUCGGACAAGGAUUUUAUUUAUGUUGUUGGGAUUCUUAUAUUGAUGAAGUUGAAGAAGUACAGGGACAAAUAAGCCAA